AGUGAACGCUGGCGGUAGGCCUAACACAUGCAAGUCGAACGGCAGCACAGUAAGAGCUUGCUCUUACGGGUGGCGAGUGGCGGACGGGUGAGGAAUACAUCGGAAUCUACUUUUUCGUGGGGGAUAACGUAGGGAAACUUACGCUAAUACCGCAUACGACCUACGGGUGAAAGCAGGGGAUCUUCGGACCUUGCGCGAUUGAAUGAGCCGAUGUCGGAUUAGCUAGUUGGCGGGCUAAAGGCCCACCAAGGCGACGAUCCGUAGCUGGUCUGAGAGGAUGAUCAGCCACACUGGAACUGAGACACCGUCCAGACUCCUACGGGAGGCAGCAGUGGGGAAUAUUGGACAAUGGGCGCAAGCCUGAUCCAGCCAUACCGCGUGGGUGAAGAAGGCCUUCGGGUUGUAAAGCCCUUUUGUUGGGAAAGAAAAGCAGCAGGUUAAUACCCCGCUGUUCUGACGGUACCCAAAGAAUAAGCACCGGCUAACUUCGUG
rnacentral:rRNA from 1 species